rnacentral:lncRNA from 1 species
AGAACAUAGGCAGGGUUAGGCAUGGGAGAAUGUGUCUGACUCACAACGAAGGAAUGAAGCAUGCCGGGCCUCAUCUCGGACCUGCACACUGCCCCUCAUUAUGUUCAUGAUCGGGUGAGGAUUCUUGUCUCAUGUCUUUCCAAGUCCUUGCAAGGCAGUGUCUCUCUGCUUACAGCAUUCUAUUCCAGCAGGAAAUGGAUAAAGAGUGGCCAGAAGGUGAAAAAGAAGAGAUGGCCCCCUGAAAGGGACAUCCACAUUUAUUUGAGCACCUACCAGUUCUCCCCAGCUGAAGUCUACACAAUCUUUACCCAGACAUCAGAAACAGCUGUCUCAGGCAGAAGGCGCUUGACUCCAGGUGGGCGCUCAGCAGCAAG